AAGAAUCCCAAGGGAUGAUGGAUGAGCAAGACAGAGAAAUGAGGAGGAAACUGAAAAAGGAAUUAGAGGAGACUUUGUUGAGGGAGAUCUCUUGGAGACAAAAAUCCAGACAUAAGUGGAUCAAGGAAGGGGAUGGGAAUACCAAAUUCUUUCAUGCUUUGGCUAAUGGGAGGAGGAAAAAUUUGAUACUAAAGCUUGAGGUUGAUGGUGUGGAUAUAACCUCUUGGCGACUGGAGUAGGAGAGGGAAAGAUUGAAGCAACAGAGGGAGGUAAUAUAUUCUAUCUUCUUUCAUUUGACUUAGGUUUCUUUCUCUUAUUUUAUUGUUUAUCUGGAGUUGCAGAUUUGGGGAGGAAAAUCGAUGACAAAACAGAGGAAGUCAAAGAAUCAGUUGAAGAAACUGAGAAAAAUCAAUAUGUUGCGUGAAAAACGUCUAUAAAAGAAAUGGACCACAUUGAAAACAAAAUAAAGGAUGAAAACGUGGAUUUGUUGAGAGAAACAAGGGAAGUGAAGAGAGAAAUAGGGGAAAUGAAGAGAGAAAUGAAAGAUUUUGCAAGAGAAAUGAUUGAAGAGAUGAAAGAGAUGAGGAAGACGACAGUGAAAACGACGGUCACCACAUUUGUUUCAUAUACUGCAGUGGUUGUAGUUGGAGUUGCAGUUUUAUACCAGAAAAAGUUUUAGUGAGAUCCUGAUGUGAAGAACUUUACUUCACUCAAUAAUUUUCUACCUGGUAUGAUGCUUCCAUUUAUUGAACUUUUGUUGUAUCUCUUGCUUUCUCUUGUUAGAGAUAGAGAAAAGUAUGACUUGAGAUGGGGAACAAUGCCACAUUUUUAAUAUAACAUUAAUUUGAUUAACUUCUGUUCAUUACUGUUGGUAUUUUUUUUUCCAGUUAAAUAGAUUGGGAGAGAACAAGGGGAAAGAAAUACAGUUUCUUUUAAGUUCCAAAAUUCUAAUAAAAUGAGUGGUUACUUGGACUCUUAAAAGAAACCAGAUUUCAGUGUUAAAACAUUUCAGAACGUUAAAAAUUCAGUGAUAGACAGGAUAAGUGUAUUUUGCUCGAUUGACUCCUCAAUUGGAAGAUUUUAAUGUUCCGAAAUGUUUGUCAUUGAAUACUUAAAAUCAUGGUUUUUAAAACCAAACCGGUGACCGAACUGGUCAGGGGUCCAGUUACCGGGUUGAACGGUCUGACUGUUCGAACCGAAUACUUGGCCCAUUCUGACAAAAAAAUAAAAAAAUUCGAAAACAUAAAAAACGGUCAUAACCAUUCGAAUGGUUAAUCGCCCGGUUUAGCGGUUCGCUGACCAAAAUCAACGGUUUUGGGGGGAAAUCUGGUUUUAGGGAAAAUGGAACCGGUCACCCCAGUUUUUCCGGUCUGACAAUUUGGUCCGGUCUGGUUUUGAAAACCAUGCUUAAAAUCUUCCAAUUGGGGAGUCAAUCGAGUAAAGUACACUUAUCUUGUUUGUCACUGAAUUCUAAACGUUCCGAAAUGUUUGAACAUUGAAAUCUGGUUUUUCUUAAGAGUCUAAGUCACGAUUCAUUUUAAUAGAAUUUUGAGACUUAUAAGGAAACGAUCUUUCUUUCCCCUUGUUCUCACUCAAUAUAUUUAACUGAAAAAAACACCAAUAGUAAUGAACAAAAGUUAAUCAAAUUAAUGUUAUAUUAAAAAAUGUGACAUUGUUCUCCAUCUCAAGUCAUAUUUUUUCUCUAUCUCUAACAAAAGGAAGCAAGAGAUAUACAACAAAAGUUCAAUAAAUGGGUGCAUCAUACUAGGUAGAAAAUUAUCGAGUGAAGUAAAGUUCUCUACAUCAGGAUCUCACAAAAACUUUUUCUGGUAUAAAAUUGCAACUCCAACUACAACCACUGUAAUAUAUGAAACAAAUGUGGUGACCGUCGUUUUCACCACCGUCUUCCUCAUCUCAUCUCUUCAAGCAUUUCUCUCGUCAAAUCCUUCAUUUCUCUCUUCAUUUCUCCUAUGUAUCUUCACUUUCCUUAUUGCUCUCAGCAAAUCUGCAUUUUCAUCAUUUAUUUUGUUUUCGAUGUAGUUCAUUUCUUUCAUAGAUGUUUUUCACGCAGCAUAUUGUUUCUUCUCAGUUUCUUCAAUUGAUUCUUUGACUUCCUUUCCUUUUUCGUCGAUUUUCCUCGAGAUCUUAUUUCCAUAUGCUGCUCCAGUCGCCAAGAAAGAUAAACGAUAAAGUAAGAGAAAGAAAACUUAAGUCAAACGAAAGAAGAUAGAAUAUAUUAUCUCCCUUUGUUGCUCCAGUCGCUCCCUUUCCUAUUCCAGUUGCCAUGAAAAAAAAAACGUAAGAGAAAGAAAAGCUUAAUCAAACGAAAGAAAAAAAUGUAAGAGAAAGAAGAGCUUAAUCAAACGAAAGAAGAUAGGGUAGACAUAAUAGACAGACUCAUUUUAUAAGUAGUUGUUGGCUCCUGUCUAAAGACGGUUCGGUCUGUUUUAUUUAGUUUUGCCAACCGAAUCGAUGCUACCAAUUUGUCUAUUUUAUUAAUUGAGACCGACUGAGAUGCAUAUCAAACCAAUGUUAUAAAAAAUGACCCAAAACUGGAACCGUGCUGAUGAAAACCGACCCGAUAUAUCGGUUUAUGAAUUUGCCCAACCCGAAACCGAUCGGUGCUGAUGAAAACCCGACCGACUCGGGUUGGGUCGGGUUGGGCCUUCUUAUGAAUGGCCCUAAUCAAUAUAAUAGUAGAAUAAUAAUAGGGAUUCGUAACUAGCGAAACAAAGCAUAUUAAAUAAUGCGAAUCUUGGCAAAAAUAGCAACAUAACUAAGAGGAAAAACGGUAUGUCAGGAGAAGUUUCUUAGCUUCCUCGUUCAAAUCGACUUCAAAUAUGGGGAAACCACAUAGUGCGAAUGAGGCAGUAGCAUCAUCAGUAACACAAGAAAGAAAAAAAAAGAAAUAAUCAGUUAUUCCCAAAAAUUUAUGAACCAAUACAAUAUUUCAUGAUGAAUUCGAACAACAAUAAAAUAAAUCAAAACAAGGAGAAAACGAUGGGAUUGUGGAUUGGCGUCGACCUCUCAAAAAUUAGAUUUUUCAAUGCCUCACCUUCGAUUCCGGCAACCAGUUGUUACUGAUUGGCCGAUGGCAAAAUGGUGCAGAAAACAAAGAAAAAAAAGAAAACUAACAAAGGAAGAUUUAGGAGUAAGAGGACCUACCUGACUGCAUUUUGGCCUGCGAUGAACGCUGUAACAUGGACCGAGAUCGUGUAGCUCCUAAACUCUGACGAAAAGUUUGGCGAAAAAAUAGCUUACGGGUGAAUGUUUUAGUUACAAGUUAAGACUCAGAGACUUUACUAACUUAGCAAAGAUGUACUAGUUGAAUGUUUUAGCUACAAGUUAAAAUGGGGUAGUUUCUUUUAUAUUGUCAGGUAUCAAAGAAAGUUUGGAAUUCGGAAUUCAUAAAGGAGUUUCCGUAAUUGACUUGGAAUUCAAAAGGCAAUGGUCUUUGGCAGUUGGAUCAUUAUUUAACAAAGGCAAGAGACAUCCUGAACAUGAUGAAUGUAAACCUAGUCUUGAUUCCCAAGGAGUUCAGUUGGUCUCAAUUCUUGUCUAGAAGAACUGAUGAAAGUGUUAGAUGUUAAAUCCAAUGAUGUCCGAGUUGUGGGACUUGUUGGAAUGGGUGGGAUUGGCAAGACAACUCUUGCCAAGGCCGUUUUUAAUAAAAUGGUCUCUCAAUUUAAGCAUCACAGCUUCAUUUUUAACAUCAAAGAAACUUCAAGGAAAGGGUGCAAUUGAGUUUCACUCCUUUAUGAAUUCCGAAUUCCAAACUUUCUUUGAUACCUGACAAUAUAAAAGAAGCUGCCCCAUUUGAACUUGUAGCUAAAACAUUCAACCUGUACAUCUUUGCUAAGUUAGUGAAGUCUCUGAGUUUUAACUUGUAGCUAAAACAUUCACCCGUAAGCUAUUUUUUCGCCAAACUCUUCGUCGGAGUUUAGGAGCUACACGAUCUCGGUCCAUGUUGCAACGUUCAUCUCAGGCCAAAAUGCAGUCAGGAGGUCCUCUUACUCCUAAAUCUUCCUUUGUUAGUUUUCUUUUUUUUUUCUUUGUUUUUCUGCACCAUUUUGCCAUCAGACAAUCAAUAACAACUGGUUGUCGGAAUCGGAAGUGAGGCAUCAAAAAUCUAAUUUUUGAGAGGUCGACGCCAAUCCACCGUCCCGUCGUUUUUUCCUUGUUUUGAUUUAUUUUAUUGUUGUUGGAAUUCAUCAUGAAAUAUUGUAUUGGUUCAUAAAUUUUUGGGAAUAACUGAUUAUUUCUUUUUUUCUUUUAUUUCUUGCGUUACUGAUGAUGCUACUGCCUCAUUCGCACUAUGUGGUUUCCCCAUAUUUGAAGUCGAUUUGAACGAGGAAGCUAAGAAGCUUCUCCUGACAUACCACCGUUUUUCCUCUUAGUUAUUUUUCUAUUUUUGCCAAGAUUUGCAUUAUUUAAUAUGCUUUGUUUCGCUAGUUACGAAUCCCUAUUGAUAUUCUACUAUUAUAUUGAUUGUGUGUGCUGAUUUAACAUCUAACCAUUCUCCCUCUUGAAACUAAAAUUGAAGUAAAAGAUGUUGAAUUAUUGGGUACUAGGGAGAUGUGGUCGGAGGUGGCUAUCGGGUUCAGGUUCUCACUCAUCGGAGGGUCAUUCAUGAUCUUUUUCCCUAUUAAUGCAUUACCUGUGGAUGAUGUCAGUAAAUGUAUCAAUGUUAUCAAACAAAAAAUUCAUGAAAGGCCUGAUCUUGUUGUUCUGGACAAUGUUGAUGAUGUGAGAGAACUUGAGGCUUUAGCUGGUGGGAGAGAGUGGUUUUGUGAUGGAAGUAGGAUUAUUAUAACCACAAGACAUAGACAGUUAUUAAAGGACAUUGUAAAUAUAACCUAUGAUGUUAAAGAAUUGAAUGAGAGUGAGUCUCUCAAACUCUUCAGUUACCAUGCCUUUGGGAGGGAGAAGCCUCCGGAAACUUUCAUGUGUUUUACUAAGGAAAUUGCAUUACACACGGGAGGAUACAUUACAGAAGUUGAGAAAGAUUCUUCCAGAUGACCUCCAUAAUUUGUUAAAGAUCAGUUAUGAUGCAUUUGAUGAAGAGAAUAAACGGAUGUUCAUUGACAUUGCAUGUUUCUUUUCUAGCAUGGACAUGAGCAGAGAAAGUGCUAUUAAUAUAUUUAAGGGCUGUGGUUUCCAUGCUGAGACAGCAAUGACAGAACUUGCAAUGCAGAGAAAGUGCUAUUGAUUUAAGAUAGAGAAGAUUUAAAUGAUAUCAGAAAGAAAGUGAACUAGAAGUUAGGUUAAUCCAAUGUCUCCAAGGCAAACCAACAAGUUUUGACCCCAGAAGUUUGGCUGCAAGAAAAGUGAUUACAACAUCAAUGUUUCUGUGAACUAAAAAUUCAAUAAUGAACUUUUAUCUAUUUUUAUUCUUUAGACUAGUUAACUAUAUUCUCAGGCAAUUAUUUUUGAUGAUUAACAUCAAUUAUAUUAAUAAGAUAUAAGAACCCGAGUCUGUCCGGAAUGGACAGAAGGAGGGGAAGUACAAAGAUAACACAAAUCUGAACACACACAAAUAUAUACAUAAGACAGAUUACAAAGGGAUCCCUGGCCCAGGCCAACCCCAUUCACACCAGCUCAAGUUAAACUUUCAAUUAGGGAUUGGGUUCAGCAUCAAUGAAUUGAUAAUAAAUUUUGGCCUUGGGGGUCCUUGUUUGUUUUCCUGUGAAUGUCUAUGUGCAUUGGUCCUUCAUCGUUGACCUGCCUAAAAUUCUACUGCUCAUAUAUGGUUUUCAUUUUCGUUUUCCAUGUUGGGAGAUCAUAACAUGUAUAUUUCAUGCAACAAGAAAUAAAUCUGUAAAAGUUAGGAUAGGUUAUAUGGAAAAAGGAGGGGGGGGGAGUAAGCAAGAGUAUGUAGCAGAAAACAGACAUUUUUUAACCAGAUAACAGACAAACUUUACUGGGUUUAUCACUUCACACGACCAGAGAGAGAGAGAGAGAGAGAGGGAAGGAGAGAAGAAUUUAAUGAAGCCCUGGAGAUAUGACAGAUUGAGAACAAAUACUUCUUUGAAUUUAUACCAAUACUUUUGUGUGUAGUCUUUCCUUAGAUCCUCAAACUCUUUGGAAUUGGUUUUCAUGCAGACAUGAGAAAACAGGAUUGUGCAUCUAUAUAGAAGUAUGUAAUUGAACUUUAUAAAUCAUUUCUCAACUACUUGAGGUCAGGAGCAAUUAAUCCUGUUUUGCCAUUCCAUUCCAUCAAGUUCUUGUCUCGGUUAACCUAUGGGUCCUCAGAUGUUUCCUCAGUACAUCAACCCACAAGUGUUUUAGUCUCCUCCAACCUCUCCUUUAGAGUCUCUAGUUACAUGGGGUCCUUUUACUGCUGUUUGUAGGUUGAUGGCAGAAUAUGCAUCUUAUGCUCAAAUUACUCGUGAGGUGAUACAAUGCCUCUCCUGCUUCUUUAACCCUCAAGUUGUAUCGGGUCUUCGUACUGCUGUUUGAAGGUCAAUAGUAGAAUAUGUUUCCUAUGCUCAAUUUACUAAUGAGGUGACACAGUGCUCUCGAGAUUCACCAAUGCUACAACAGCUCUCUCUAAACACAAUCCAGGAAAUAGUACUCCCCCCAGUGGGAUUCCCCACCAUUUGAGCAGGUCAACAGUGAAUUGGCUGCAAAAUUGAAUGAAAAUCUGUCAUAAUCUCCCGGGCUUGUUUCAGUAUCAUCUAGUUUCAGUCAAAGUGAUGUUUUCAAUAGCAUCUCAGAAAACUACGUGGAUACAUCUGUAAACAAUCCUAUCAAUGAAGACAGGUAAAUCAUAUAGGUACAAUGAUAGACAUAAUGAAAGCUGUUGGAUUGUAACAUGAAUUAAUUUAUGAGAUUUUACAAAUAUUAACAGAAAUUAUAAUUUGAGUUUGAUGCAACUUGAAACUUGAAACUUUACAACAGGGAUACUGGAAAAAAGUAGAGGAUUUGGAUUUGUCACAAUGAGCAACAUUGAAGAUGCUAACAGAGUCUUUGAAAAUAUUGAUGGAAGUGUAAAAACUCUCUCUCUAUGAUAAUUCUCAUCUUCCAUUCAUUAAGGCUAUAUCAUCUGUUAAAAACUAAAUAGAUGUUUUCAGAUAAAUUUCCAUAUCAACUUUUAUUUGAAGCUUUCAGAUAAACACGUUUAUCAUGUGAUACCUCUAGUGACUUCUAUAUGUAUAUGAAAUGCUUAUUGAUCAAGUAUAUAGAUUUCAUUUGUUUCUAGGAUGUUUAUUUGUUUAGUGCUCCUUUCUUUCCAAAUUCUAAGUUCCUAGACUGAAAAUGCAACCAGAAUAAAAUAUUUGAUUUCAGGAAUACUGUGGGCAGACACUGAGAGUGAACUUCUCGGACAAACCAAGGCCUAGAGAACCUUUGUAUCCUGAAGGUGAAUACAAGCUUUUUGUUGGGAACUUAUCAUGGUCAGUCACAUCGGAAAGUUUGACAAGUGUUCCAAGAAUAUGGAAAUGUGGUUGGAGCAAGGGUUCCCGUAUGAUGGAGAGACAGGUAGAUCUUGUGGUUAUGGCUUUGUAUACUACUAAUCAAAGCCAGGGAUGGAAGCUGCGCUUGAAUAUCUUAAUGGAGUGGAGCUUUUGAUGGUGUCCUUGAGCUUCUUGUUCGUGCUGGGAGAAGUCUCCCUGAAGCUAUCAUGAUGAUGAUACCUGAAGCAUGGGAAAACGACCAGAAUAUGGAUCCAGAUAGAACUACCUUGUAUGAAUACUUCUCAGCUCUUAUGGAGCCAUGGGAUGGACCUGCGCCCUUAUUUCAUUUACUGAUGGCCGCUAUCUGGGAGCCACAUUGGAUUGCAAUGGACUGCGUACUGGUUGCUAUUAUAUUACACACAGUGGGAGAGUUAUCAUGGCAAGUGAAGUUGGUGUUGUAGACAUCCCCCUUGAAGAUGUCUGCAAGAAGGGAAGGCUAAACCCUGGAAUGAUGCUUUUAGUAGAUUUUGAAAAACAUAUCGUUGUAGAUGAUGCAACUCUGAAGAAGCAGUAUUCCCUAGUAAGGCCGUAUGGGGAAUGGCUGAGAAGUGUUUGAAGCCUUGGGCCUUUCAUCUGAGGUGAUCCAGAUGUGUUUCAAAGGGACUCCAAGUAGAGUUAAAGGUGCAACAUUUGAAAUGCUUGCUCUGGAUUAUGCUCUCCAAUUACAUGAGAUGGCAUUUCCUACUCAAGCUAUGCCUCCUGGAAGUGCAGAGGCUGUUGCGCUGCCUAAUCCUGGAGAUUACCUGGAGAAAAGGUGGAGAAAUUCAUUUUAAUGAUCCUCUUGCUAAGGCAAAGCUGCGAGAGGUUGCUAGAUCAAAGUUGCAGUUAAGAUCUGAACUUAUUCAAACUUAGUUCUUUACACCUGGUUCAUCUUUGCAUCCAUUUGAGAGAGGAUUCAAUCAAGGAACAUAAAGCUAGGCAACCACUUAGAUAACUUUGAGAGGAGGAAACCAACCACAAGUGUUUUGAGUUUUGAGAAUGGAUGAUGAAAUUUGUAUUAGAGAUUAAUGUAUCAAUUUGAAACUAAGAUAUAUAUUAAUUUGUAAAUCAAAUGUAUUAAUUUUUUUGGUAGAAAAAUAUUUUGAAUGUAAAAUG